rnacentral:lncRNA from 1 species
CUCUGCCAUCCUCUCCACUCCAGCUACACGGGCCCCCCGUCCUCUGCCAUCUUCUCCAGUCCAACCACAAUGGCCUCCUGUCCUUCACCAUCCUCCCAGCUCCAGCCACACUGGCCUCCCAUCCUCUGCCAUCCUCUCCACCACAGCCACACCAGCCUCCUGGCCUCUGCCAUCCUUUCCACUCCAGCCACACUGGCUUCCCUGCUGAACUAAAGGCUCCCACCACAGGGUCUUCACACUUCCUAUGGCCUCCAUGUGAAGCCUCCCUCACUUCUUCAGGUCUUUCUUCAAAAACAUUUUCAUGGAUGAGCUCAUCAUAUCCAUGGCUACCCUUGCCAUUGCCAUGCCAAUGAGGGGGACAGCCCGGCCACCCACAAGGAUCCAGGACAAUGAUGCUUACCUCAGCCACCCAGUUCCUCUGGAAUCCAUCCUUCCUUUUAGCCCCAUAGCCACUGCUCCCCUUCUUGCUGCCUCAGCCCUCAGCAGUGGCCCCAACGUGCAGGUCUCCCACCUGUAGCUGCU